rnacentral:rRNA from 1 species
AGCGAACGCUGGCGGCAGGCCUAACACAUGCAAGUCGAACGAAGUCUUCGGACUUAGUGGCGGACGGGUGAGUAACACGUGGGAACGUGCCUUUAGGUUCGGAGUAACUCAGGGAAACUUGUGCUAAUACCGAAUGUGCCCUUCGGGGGAAAGAUUUAUCGCCUUUAGAGCGGCCCGCGUCCGAUUAGCUAGUUGGUGAGGUAACGGCUCACCAAGGCGACGAUCAGUAGCUGGUCUGAGAGGAUGACCAGCCACACUGGGACUGAGACACGGCCCAGACUCCUACGGGAGGCAGCAGUGGGGAAUCUUGCGCAAUGGGCGAAAGCCUGACGCAGCCAUGCCGCAUGAAUGAUGAAGGUCUUAGGAUUGUAAAAUUCUUUCACCGGGGACGAUAAUGACGGUACCCGGAGAAGAAGCCCCGGCUAACUUCGUGCCAGCCGCCGCGGUAAGAC